AGUACCAGUCAAAGGUUUGGACACGCUUUCCCAUCCAAGUGAAUGAGAAAGUGUGUCCAAACUUUUGACUGGUUUGGAAAAAGAUA